ACAGGAUGAGACUCCAUUUAAAAAAAAAAAAGAGGAUGACAACACUGCCUGUCUCACUGGAAUCUUGUAAGGAUUAAAUGGUUACUGUUUUUAACGUAGUUGGAAGAGUUUGUGGUCCUGUGUUUGUUAAAUAUACACAAAUUAACUUCCCAGCUCACCCAUGCCUAGUAUUAUGCAAGGGGCUUCACAUCAAUUACCUUGUUUGGUCUUCACCACAGCCACAUGAGCUUGGAAUGACUAUUAUUAGGGAAAGUGGACCCAAGAAGGUCAAGUUCCUUGCCUGAGGUCACACAGCUAGUAAAAGGCAGAGCAAAGGUUGAAACUCAGGAUGGUCUGUCUCCAGGACCGGGGCUCUCCACCACUCGGGCCUGCCUAUUCCAGGGCUGGCAGCCUCUCUACAGAGGUGAAGCGUCUACUGGAUCACUUUUGACCAACAACACAUCAGCCGGCAGAGGAAGGAGGGGUGGGCCAAGAAGGGCCCCUUCCCUCUCAGGCCGGAGAGAUUCCUCUGACUAAUUUGCUGAGUGACUUCGAUGGCAAACUGCAGCCCUGUUCCCUCCAGCUGAGACUCCUCCGUCUUGCUCAUGACUGGGUCCCCUGGGCAGAGCCAGGUCCUGGCAGAGAGCAGAUAUCCAGUAAAUACCUCUUGGCCCUAAGAAUGACUGGGAACACUCAUGUAGCGAGAACACCUUCCUGUGUGUUAUCUCAUCUCAUCCUCACAGCAGCCCAGAGAGCGACCGCAGGUGCACACAGAUCUGAGGGCCUGAUCUGUUCCACUCUCUUUAUGCCAAACAGAGGAGGGACGCGAACCCCAGCAUGAAACGGCACCCACAACCACAAGGCCCGGUGUGCGCCCUCUGAAACCGUAGGUUUUCCUGGCAAAGGAGCCUUUGGUGGUGGAUGUCUUCAUGGCACAUGUGAGGACCAUCAAUACCAAAUCUCCCUUCAUCUGCUUGGAGUUCCCUGCAUCAGUACAUGAUCCCAUAUAGGGCAGGGUAAGCAUUGUUCUUCAGGUUUCUUUUUAAAACUCUAAGUGCUAUUGGGAAAGGGAAGCCAGUGGUCCUCCCACCACUGAGUGACUGGGGCUGGGUGGGCUAAACCUGGAGGAGAAGAGGCCUGGGAAGGGUGAGGCUGCCACGGGUACCUCAUAGGUUGGUUGACCAGGCCUGACUGGUGGCCUGUAAGCUGCUACCUGGCAACCAAACCUCUGCCCUGGACUUACACUGUGAGCCCCUCUUCCCUCUUCUCGGGGUGAUCUCGCAUUGGUAAGUCAGGGUCAGUUCCCUGGGGCCCAACUCCCACCCAGGCUCUGUGUCUGACAUGAGGUCACAGAACACCCCCAUGCUAGCAUGUUUGCUCCCAAGUUUAAUGUCCUUUUUCAAAGUAGAUGUCAU
rnacentral:lncRNA from 1 species